rnacentral:tRNA from 1 species
UUAAUUGAAGCCAAAAAUGAGGCAUUUCAUUGUUAAUGAAACCAAUGGUUAAAACCCAAUUAAA